rnacentral:rRNA from 1 species
CUGCUGCCUCCCGUAGGAGUCUGGGCCGUAUCUCAGUCCCAAUGUGGCCGGCCAACCUCUCAGUCCGGCUACUGAUCGUCGCCUUGGUGGGCCGUUACCUCACCAACUAGCUAAUCAGACGCGAGGCCAUCUUCCAGCGAUAAAUCUUUGACAUUCAAACCAUGCGAUUCAAAUGCAUCAUGCGGUAUUAGCAGUCGUUUCCAACUGUUGUCCCCCUCUGGAAGGCAGGUUCCUCACGUCG